ensembl:lncRNA
CAAAGGAAAACCUUUUAUUUUCAAAAAAUUAAAACAAAAAAUUAAGAUUAAGAUUGAGAAAUAAAUGAGGAUUGCUUUUUCAGAUGCUUAUGCAAGUAACAAGAAAAACCAAAAGCAUCUCUCACUUAAAUUCUUACAUUUGUAUAUCAGCUGCUUGCUUCACUAGGAACCCUCUAUUUUAUGCUGACCCUGAAGAUCUCACAGUUCUACAGAAAAGUUAACUGAGGCCCAGAGCAACUCGCAAUUUCAUGCACCCCGCUCCAGUACUCUUGCCUGGAGAAUCUCAUGGACGGAGAAGCCUGGUGAGCUGCAGUCCAUGGGGUCGCUAAGAGUUGGACACGACUGAGCGACUUCACUUUCACUUUUCACUUUCAUACAUUGGAGAAGGAAAUGGCAACCCACUCCAGUGUUCUUGCCUGGAGAAUUGCAGGACAGGGGAGCCUGGUGGGCUGCCUUCUAUGGGGUCACACAGAAUCAGACAUGACUAAAGCGACUUAGCAGCAGCAG